rnacentral:rRNA from 1 species
UACGGAGGAUGCAAGCGUUAUCCGGAAUUAUUGGGCGUAAGGCGUCCGCAGGUGGUUAUCCAAGUCUGCUGUUAAAGCGCGAGGCUUAACUUCGUACAGGCAGUGGAAACUGGGUGACUGGAGUAUGGUAGGGGUAGCGGGAAUUCCCAGUGUAGCGGUGAAAUGCGUAGAUAUUGGGAAGAACACCAGCGGCGAAAGCGCGCUACUGGGCCAUUACUGACACUCAUGGACGAAAGCUAGGGGAGCGAAAGGG